UAUAAAUACAAUGAUUCCUAUUUUAAAUGGAAGGCAAAAAUCAGCAAAUUGUUGAAGGAUUGACCUCUUGUUUGUUUACUCUAAUUUCUUUUCUCCCCUCAUUCACAGCUUUUCAUUAUUUUGGGGUACUCUUUGGUAAAGGCCUAGUGCUGAGUAGCACCAAUGGCAGCACAUCUGGAAUCAAUACAGCUGAACUGGGUAACUAGAGGGUUUUGGGGGGAGUUAGAGCUAAGGGUUGGGCUAGUUAUGGUUUUGGUCCUGGGGGUCCAUGUGUCCCUGACUCCUAAAUAGACUUGAUUGCUACCAGCUGGCAGCCUUAACUCACCCUGUGUCAGGGAUCUCCUCUGAUGUCAACCUUGUCAGUAUCAAGGCUAGACAGGACAAAGGAGAGUAAGACACGAGCAGUUACGAAGAGAGGAGUAGUCAGGGUCUGUGCUAUGGGAAAUCUUGCUGCACUGCAUGUGAACUCUCUGGUUUGCAUCACAAAAAAUUCUGCCUCUAUGUGAAAAAAUUGAGGACAAAUUCCAUUUAAAAGAUGUAAUGCAUGGUAAGCUUUUUGUGGGGACCUUAAAGCAUAAUAUGUUCUUAAAAGACUAAAAUAUAUUAAUAUAACAGCUCAAAUCACAGAGACUAACUGCAGAAGACAUGACAUUUAAAAUGUGUUUGCAUUUGCAAAUAUCAGGAAAGUUUUUUUUUUUUUUAAUCUUUAAAAAUGCCAAGACCACUCUUUGAUGUAAUAUGCUGCUUUGCUGUAUGUUUUGGGUCAUCGUCCAUUUGUACUAUGAUGCACCGCCCAAUCAACUUUGCUCCAUUUGACUGAAUCUGCCUGUACAUUUCAGAAUUCUUCUGGCAGCUUCUGUACUUUGUCACGUCAUCAUUAAACAACAGUAACCCAGUGCCACUGGAAGCCAUGCCUGCUCAUGCCAACGCACUGCUUCACUAUGCUUCACAGAUGAUGUUGUAUGCUUUGUUCCAAGCCUUCUCCAUACCCUUUUACAAUAUUGUCAUCAAAACAUUUCAAAGGUCAAAAAAAUGCCUUUCCAGAAGUAUUCUGGCAUUUUUAGAUGUUUUUUAGGCAAAGUCUAAUCUGGCCUUGUUUGCACCUUGUGGCGAACCCUAUGUAUUUGCUCUUGUGAAGUCUUCUCUUGAUUGUAGACUUUAACAGUGACAUGUCUGCCUCCUGGAGAGUGUUCUUCUCUUGGCUGGAUGCUGUGAAAGGGUUAUUCUUUACCAUGGAGAGGAUCAUCCGAUCUUCUACGACUGUUGUCCUCUAUUCUGCUGUAGCUCUGGAGUCAGAGAGGUCGAAUUCAAGCUGACCAGGUCACAUCACUCAGAGUGCACCAGCAUGGAUGGUUGCCAUGGUGAGGGAAGAGAUAUGGGGAUCAAUGAGGAAUUUUUGCUUGCUCAUGUACAUUUUCAAAUAUCCUUAACAGGAAACAAAAUAUACACUUUCUUUGUUCGCUUGUUUAAAUUAAGUAAAAAUAUAAAUAGGAACUUCCAGAAUUGUCCAUCUAUAUAUGGACAACUCUAUCACAUAUAGACCCUCUGAUCAACUCAGUAAAUGACAUUUUGGUGCUAAUUUACAUUAUGAAAACAAACUGAUGUGGAAUUAUAGCUCAUGAAACUGAUAUUGAACAAUCUCUCUUCACAGUCUGAGAUGUACAACUUUUUAACACUAAAAACAUCUUGUAAUUUAAAAUGAAAAGAUUUAGUUUCAGUGGAAAGGUAAUUAUUGACCUUCACAUUCAUAUUAUUAACCAUUAGUGCCACCACAAUUGAAUGUAUGAUUUGAGGGAUGUUAUUUUAUUCUAUUGGUAGCUGGGGAUUAAUUAUCCUUUAGAUAGCGACUGGAGGGCAAGGACUGUGUAUAACCCUGCAUUAUUCAUCUUAAUCAUCUUAGUCUUAAUCAUCGGAGACUUAAUCAUCAGCAUCCAUCAGCACUUUACAUUAAAUAUGAAAUUAAUCUCCAUACUAUAAAAAUACAUUGGACUUAAUGAGAGUUAUGUUGAGGGUCAAUGUUUUGACGCAUAUCCUAAGUUAAGACAAUGCUUGCAAUCACUCAUAAGUAGUUAAGUCAAUUUCCAUCAUAUCUGUAUGGACUAUAUUUCAUGCAGACAUAAGAUAAAUUAUCUAGCUUUUCUUUUUGUACUAUAUUUUGAUCACAGAGCACCUUAAUUUGACACUCCACCCUGAAGCCGAUCCUGAUCAUCGGGCAGUGUUUAAAGGUGGGGUAUGUUUUUUUUUCAAAAACGCUUUAGAAAGUGCCGAGUACCAAAACAAACUUGUAGCCAAUCAGCAGUAAGGGGCGUGUGUACUCAUGAUGGGGAUGAGAGAGCGCUCGGUGAACAUGACGGUCAUUAGCCAAGCCGAGCGACAGAAAGAUAGAGAUGGCGGAUAAAAAACUAAAGAGGAAAACCUCUGUGGAACAAAAGAAGACUUACAAUUAGGCAAGAAGUAGGUCCCGUGUAAAUAUUAGAUCAGCUUUCAAGCGCUGGAGAGAGCUCAAGGAGCGGAAGUCCUGCUAUCGGAUGCCAAGGUUGCUUUGUUUCUUCUAGAUCGGUGAGGAACAGUGUCUACACCUGAUGCCACAGGUGUCCAGCUCGAACUGUCUUAUAUGGAAGCUUAAGUGAAUAUUAUUCACUUAUUUUUUUAUAUGCGCACUCUCAGAAACAAAAGCUGUCACUCUGGUAGAUCCAUUUUGAAAGGUUCACUUUUGUACCUAAAGGGUCUGUAUUGGUAUCUAAAAGGUACAAAAGUGUCCAUUUGAAAAGGUAGUUUCUCAGUGACAGCUUUUUUCUGAGAGUGUAGAAUAGCCACUUGACCCUCAACAUUCCACAAAACUUAGUUUUAAUACAUUACUUGAUGAUCUCACUGAUAUUUUGAAAUCAUGUGCAUGUAAAGUGAAGCCAAUCUACCAAUUGACCUGUACGGGAAGAUAAGCCAUUAAAGUUUUUCAACAUAUUCUCUUUAAUAUUGUGUAAUACUUUUUUUUUCUUCUUAAAAUACAGUCUUUUCUGAGGUAGACCAUUACAGUUCAAGAACAUUAUCAUUUUUAUAACAGACAUCAAAAAAAGACAUGAAAUAAAUAUUUUCAUGUACAAUAUGCUGCAAAAAUGAGGUAGAAAUGGUUACAGAAAAUGUACAAGAACAAGAUCCAAGAACAAAUUUACUGUACUAAUAGAUUCAAAACAGCUAAUUAAUGACAAUUUUGUUGGACAAACUGUUAAACUGCUCAGUAACUUUGUGUUCCUGUUUUGAAAUCAGCAAAAUAUCUGUAUUGGCCUAUGAUAUCUUAGUAAAAAUGGCGUAUCUCAGUUUGAAUGAAUGGAAAUUGGUGCUGAGUUUUUCUACACAAGAUUAUGUAUUUGUGCAUGUUGGAUCUUGGUGUCCCUAAGUCUGUCAGGUUCUGUAGGUUUUUGCCAAUUCGGGACUGAUCGAUAUGUGCUCUUGGCGUCAUUAUUGACCUGUGUAGCAUGAGUAAAGCCACCAGCUGUACUUGAAGAGCCGAACAGUGCUAUAGGGUUACUAGACAUCAGUCAGAAUAUGGCUUCUCCAAAAGGCCUUGUGUAAGAUAGAGGAACGGGGGAUGGGAAAACAGCUCACCACAUGGCUAUACAGGGCCAGCAACCAAGGAGACGAACCAUUGUGCUAAGAGCAUGGGGUGUGCUGGGGGUAAAGGAGUGAUCAGCGGCUGUUAACUUUAAUAAUAAACGUAAUAAUCUCCGUUUCUUCAGCAGUGGUGAUUUGAAGACAUCUGAUCACUUCAUGCAACUUUUAUGUACCUUAUAAACCAAAAAAGAUUAACAUUUUAAACAUUGGUAGAGGCUGCUCCAACUUUAUACAUUACACAUGAUGGUAUAACACAAUUUAUGAUUAGACAUGAUUAGCUGCCAAUUAUAUAUAUUCUGAUUUUCUGAUCUUUGGGUUGUUUCUUUUUUUCUCCUCAAGUACUUAAGAUUGGUUGUUUUAAAAGGGCACUGACAUAUGCUUUGUACCUUGGUUUCUGAAAACAGUUGUCCAACAAAAUCAAACGUCUUGUUUGCCAUCUACAAUAACACUUCAUGAAGACAAUCAUCACUCCAUCCAAAAUCUACAUCAAAAAUAAAGGGUAAGGAUAAGGGAAAACUUUUCAAUAGAGAGUUAAAAACAUGUAUUUAUGGCAUCAGAUAUUCUCUGAAAUACCUGAAUUACAUUCAUUGUUCGUCUUUGUAGCAUUUUCAAGUUUCACCUAAGAGGUAACAGCACAGAUGCAGUGUGUAUACAGGUCUGUGUUAGGUCUGUUGCUCACCUCCAACCUCAAUGCUUACUACUAAGACCCUAAGAUUACAUACAUUCUUUAUUUAUCAUUUCUGAGGUAAAGAAAUUCUUCCUGAGUAUUUCAAACAAGACUACAUACACUAAUAAAAUAAACUGAGUAAAGAGGAAGAGAGAAAAUUGUCAUUCUCGGGCCCUUGCUUGUUUUUUGUGUUUGAGGGUCCUGCGCAAAGGCUCUCACAAGAUUGUGAGGAAUUUGAUGGGUUGUUUACAUAUUGUUGUAUUUGAGGAAAUAUUUAUUAUCUUCAACAAAGUGUUCUGAAAUAAGUGUAUCAACAGUAAAAGUCUGUCUUUCUAUUAUCUGAGUUUCUAUGGAUUAGCAUUUUAAUACUUUUUGGGUAGCAAUGCAUACUCUUUUGGUAAAAUGACCAUUUUGACAAAAAGUGCACAAGAUCUGACCAUGGCCUAACAAUCAACUUUGUAAAAUACUGUUGCUUUCUUCCCUUAGAGGUUGCAUAACAGUAAAUACAUUUUGGUGAAUGCUGUGACUCUGACAUUAUAUUGUUGGUGAGAAUUUUUGGUACAAACAAAGUAGUUUUGAUAUAUCCUAAGCCCUUUAACACCAAAAGAUCUUUAAAGUAAAUCAACACAAAUUAAACAACACCACUGGAGUGGACUGGCAAUAAAUAGGAUCCUGAGAAUUAUAAUUAAUGGGGUUUUUUUUUCAGGAAAAGUCAAGUUACAUAUAACCUCCAGGUUUAAUCCAGGAUCAAGGCUAAUUGGAAUUCCAGUGAAAUUCCAAAAUAUAAUUCAGACUUUCUAUCAGAUAUGCCAAGCAACUAAUAAAUGCCCCUUCAAGAAAGGCCUAAUAUUUCAUUUCUUUGGGAAAAAAAUAAAGUAUAUGUAUAUUUAUAGAAAAACAACACACCAUGGUAUGUUUCCUGGAUUAAAUGCAAAAUGCCUCCCCACCAUAAACUGUAAUUUCAAGUCCAACACUUUUGGCUGCAAAAAGUAGUUAAAAAAA